AAACUUUCAACAACGGAUCUCUUGGUUCUGGCAUCGAUGAAGAACGCAGCGAAAUGCGAUAAGUAAUGUGAAUUGCAGAAUUCAGUGAAUCAUCGAAUCUUUGAACGCACAUUGCGCCCUCCGGUAUUCCGGAGGGCAUGCCUGUUCGAGCGUCAUUACAACCCUCAAG
rnacentral:rRNA from 1 species